GAGGGUACAGCUCAGUGGUAGAGCAUGUGCUUAGCAUGCACAAGAUCCAGGAUUCAUUCUCAGUACCUCCA
rnacentral:tRNA from 1 species